rnacentral:lncRNA from 1 species
CUCCCCACUCAUGCAUAUGCUCCUCAAGGGAUGGCAACAUGUCUCUAUUGUUUACCACCCUGUCCUGAAUGCAGGGGCCCUGACUCAGAGAAGACUCCGGGUAAUUAUUUACCAUUUGAAGAAUGAAUGGCUUCCUAAGUUUGUGCACCUAGAGCUCUCUGGCCUUCAGCUGCUUCAUCUGUGAAUGUAAUGACUGAUUAACGAACGAAGACUCCACCUUCUCUUCCUCUCGUGGAUCCCAGCGAACUUCCAGGGCAUGGGUUGGCAUAGGUUUGAAGAAGGUUUCUCGGCCUCUGCACUGUCUACAUUUUGGGCCCGCUGAGUCUUUGUAGUUGGGGCUGGCCUGUGCAUUGUAGGAUGUUUAGCAGUUUCCCUGGUGUCCACCUACCAGAUGCCAGUUGCACCUACCAAGUUCUGACACCCAAAAUGUCUUCAGACAUCGCCAAAUGUCCCCUGGGGGACAAAAAUCACCCCUGGUUGAGAACCACUGGGUUGGAAUACAAGCCUGAAAAACCGCUCCCAGUCUGCCAGGUAAGUGACCCACACUUGCUUUACAAAACCCCAUGCACGGAGCAACAGAACCUUGGGACCUGGGACUAAGCUUGUAGCUCCGUGUUGAAAGCCUGCAGCGUCACUUGCAUUUUAAAUCAAGGCUCGGUGGAGAUUCCAGUUACAGCCUGCAACUGCAUCUGCCUUGGGCUUCCUCCUAAUUUUAACCAGCAGCUGGAUUUGCAUAGGACAUUUGCAUCUGAAAUUACCCAUGAUUCUUUGGGAGCCAUAGUCUACAGCAGAUGAUGGCAAAAAAUAUAUAUAAUUCCAUUUCAGCUUGCAAAGUAGGGGGGAGGAAGGAGAUGAAGACUUCAGGGAGGGAGGGUACUUUAAGAAAAUUUCAGUGCUUUAUAUAAUUGGUUAGAGAGGUUGGAAAUAGAUGCCCUGCUGGUCACUGGCAGAGAGAACUGUCCUGGC